rnacentral:rRNA from 1 species
AUUGAACGCUGGCGGCAUGCUUUACACAUGCAAGUCGAACGGCAGCGCGGGCUUCGGCCUGGCGGCGAGUGGCGAACGGGUGAGUAAUGCAUCGGAACGUGCCCAGUAGUGGGGGAUAGCCCGGCGAAAGCCGGAUUAAUACCGCAUACGACCUGAGGGUGAAAGCGGGGGACCGAAAGGCCUCGCGCUAUUGGAGCGUCCGAUGUCGGAUUAGCUAGUUGGUGGGGUAAAGGCUUACCAAGGCGACGAUCCGUAGCUGGUCUGAGAGGACGACCAGCCACACUGGGACUGAGACACGGCCCAGACUCCUACGGGAGGCAGCAGUGGGGAAUUUUGGACAAUGGGGGCAACCCUGAUCCAGCCAUGCCGCGUGCGGGAAGAAGGCCUUCGGGUUGUAAACCGCUUUUGUUCGGGAAGAAAUCCUCUGGGCUAAUACCCCGGGGGGAUGACGGUACCGGAAGAAUAAGCACCGGCUAACUACGUG